rnacentral:rRNA from 1 species
UCUUGGUCAUUUAGAGGAAGUAAAAGUCGUAACAAGGUUUCCGUAGGUGAACCUGCGGAAGGAUCAUUAAAGAAAUUUAAUAAUUUUGAAAAUGGAUUUUUUUGUUUUGGCAAGAGCAUGAGAGCUUUUACUGGGCAAGAAGACAAGAGAUGGAGAGUCCAGCCGGGCCUGCGCUUAAGUGCGCGGUCUUGCUAGGCUUGUAAGUUUCUUUCUUGCUAUUCCAAACGGUGAGAGAUUUCUGUGCUUUUGUUAUAGGACAAUUAAAACCGUUUCAAUACAACACACUGUGGAGUUUUCAUAUCUUUGCAACUUUUUCUUUGGGCAUUCGAGCAAUCGGGGCCCAGAGGUAACAAACACAAACAAUUUUAUCUAUUCAUUAAAUUUUUGUCAAAAACAAGAAUUUUCGUAACUGGAAAUUUUAAAAUAUUAAAAACUUUCAACAACGGAUCUCUUGGUUCUCGCAUCGAUGAAGAACGCAGCGAAAUGCGAUACGUAAUGUGAAUUGCAGAAUUCCGUGAAUCAUCGAAUCUUUGAACGCACAUUGCGCCCCUUGGUAUUCCAGGGGGCAUGCCUGUUUGAGCGUCAUUUCCUUCUCAAACAUUCUGUUUGGUAGUGAGUGAUACUCUUUGGAGUUAACUUGAAAUUGCUGGCCUUUUCAUUGGAUGUUUUUUUUCCAAAGAGAGGUUUCUCUGCGUGCUUGAGGUAUAAUGCAAGUACGGUCGUUUUAGGUUUUACCAACUGCGGCUAAUCUUUUUUUAUACUGAGCGUAUUGGAACGUUAUCGAUAAGAAGAGAGCGUCUAGGCGAACAAUGUUCUUAAAGUUUGACCUCAAAUCAGGUAGGAGUACCCGCUGAACUUAAGCAUAUCAAUAAGCGGAG